rnacentral:siRNA from 1 species
CCAGCUGAUAAGGUGGCUGCAC